rnacentral:lncRNA from 10 species
GACAGUACUCACUCAGCCCAGGCUUCCAGGCCCUCCUGGGCCCUCCUAUCCACUGAAGGAAAUGGGAGAUGAGUGGGUAAUGGAAAAGCCUUUGGAGUCAGAUGUAAAUCCAUGACUUGACCACUUAUUGCUGUGAGACCCUGGACAGCUGGAUAUAGAGUUCUUGUUCUAGCAUCCGCCCUGGGAAUCCCCGGAACUGGGCCUCUUACCGACACCAUUGCCUGUAAUCCACAAACCUAGGAGUUACUCCAGUUACUGUCCUACUGAAGGACCCCCAUCCCAUCUGGGCUACUAUAACCACAUGGACCAUCCCUUGCUUCAAUCAUAGAAUUCUUUCUUCAGAUCAAAGUAUAUUCAGACACUCGAUACAGUAACAAAAGCAAGCUAUCCUGGAAGGAAGAAGGAAUCAGGAGGCAGAGCACAUGGUUAAAGCAUGAGAUGUGAAACCAGGAAGAACCAGGUCUGAACCUUAGCUCCACCAGUGGUAGCUUCAAACCUUGGUCCUUUCUGAGCCUGCUUCUUCAACCGUAAGGGAACGCUACACUUCCUUAGAAAUUAAGAGUGUGUGCUACACUGCUUUACCAGAGCAAGGCCAAAAGCAGCUUCAAUUAUGGUACAACUGUGUGAAGACACAAUGCAAAACCACUCAAGAAUGCUCACUCAAAUGGAUUUUUACCAUGAUAAGCGACCAGAAAACAGUCCUCUCUGAAUCAGACAAACUUCAAGAGCUACAAGGGUUAUUAACACAUGAAGUAAAGAGUCAAACAGUAAUCUGCAGGAACUCGGAAACGGGACCCAGAAAGUUGUUUUCUCAAGUGGAUGGAACAACACAAGCAAUCAGUAUCCUGAAACAGGCCCUGUUCCAACAAACUGACCCAGAAAGGUCUGGUUAGGAGGACAGGACCCUCACUAUACACUAUCACAUUUAAACUAAAAGGAUAUUAUGAAUUAUGUACACAUAUCAAGCUGAGAGGAAAGGAAAUCCUAUCAUCUUGCAGGCUUCCUAA